rnacentral:lncRNA from 1 species
CUCGAACUACCUGUUGUUCUUUCUGCAGCUCUUCAAGAGUCUUCAGGACCAGAGGGACGAAUCUAGAGUUGGAGGACUCCCCCUGAGUCAGUGCAUCAUUUCUGGCUUUGGCAGCAGACUCUUCAGCAAGGUGUGAUGCUUCUUCAACAUCAGCUUUGGCUUUUGCCUCAGCUUCAGCAGCAGCAGCAUCAACAAGAUAUUUGGCUUCAGCUUCUCUGAUUCUCUGAAGUUCUUCUUGUCUUGCUUUCUCUUCAG